rnacentral:piRNA from 1 species
UGUAGAGACACUAGGGCCUCAUUUUCUAU